UACAGAGGGGGCAAGCGUUAUUCGGAAUUAUUGGGCGUAAAGGGCGCGUAGGCGGCAUGGCAAGUGGAAGGUGAAAUCCCUCGACUUAACCGAGGAACUGCCCUCCAAACUGCUUUGCUUGAGGCCGGGAGAGGUGAGUGGAAUUCCCAGUGUAGCGGUGAAAUGCGUAGAUAUUGGGAGGAACACCAGUGGCGAAGGCGGCUCACUGGACCGGUUCUGACGCUGAUGCGCGAAAGCGUGGGGAGCAAACGGG
rnacentral:rRNA from 1 species